rnacentral:rRNA from 1 species
CCUACGGGAGGCAGCAGUGGGGAAUAUUGGACAAUGGGCGAAAGCCUGAUCCAGCCAUGCCGCGUGUGUGAAGAAGGCCUUCGGGUUGUAAAGCACUUUCAGUGGGGAAGAAAGCCUUGGGGCUAAUACCCUCGAGGAAGGACAUCACCCACAGAAGAAGCACCGGCUAACUCCGUGCCAGCAGCCGCGGUAAUACGGAGGGUGCGAGCGUUAAUCGGAAUUACUGGGCGUAAAGCGCGCGUAGGCGGUCUGAUAAGCCGGUUGUGAAAGCCCCGGGCUCAACCUGGGAACGGCAUCCGGAACUGUCAGGCUAGAGGGCAGGAGAGGAAGGUAGAAUUCCCGGUGUAGCGGUGAAAGGCGUAGAGAUCGGGAGGAAUACCAGUGGCGAAGGCGGCCUUCUGGACUGACACUGACGCUGAGGUGCGAAAGCGUGGGUAGCAAACAGGAUUAGAUACCCCGGUAGUC